GUGGAGGACCGAACUGGUUGUCGUUGAAAAGACUUCGGAUGACCUGAGGGUAGGGGUGAAAGGCCAAUCAAACUGGGAAAUAGCUCGUACUCCCCGAAAUGCAUUUAGGUGCAGCGUUGGUGUGAGUUUAAUAGAGGUAGAGCUACUGAUUGGAUGCGGGGGUUUCAUCGCCUACCAAUUCCUGACAAACUCCGAAUGCUAUUAAAUGCUCAUCAGCAGUGAGGGUAUGGGUGCUAAGGUCCAUAUCCUAAAGGGAAAGAACCCGGACCAUCAGCUAAGGUCCCCAAAUAUAUGCUAAGUUGACCAAACGCGGUCUGACUGCACUGACAGCUAGGAUGUUGGCUUGGAAGCAGCCAUACAUUUAAAGAGUGCGUAACAGCUCACUAGUCGAGCGGUUGGGCAUGGAUAAUAAACGGGCAUAAGCAUAUUACCGAAGCUAUGGGGUAUAUAAUACCGGUAGGGGAGCAUUCUAUAGGCGUUGAAGCUAAAGGCGUGAGCCAUGGUGGAGCCUGAUAGAAAAGAAAAUGUAGGCAUAAGUAACGAUAAGGCAGGCGAGAAACCUGCCCGCCGAAAGAUCAAGGUUUCCUCAGCUAUGCUAAUCAGCUGAGGGUUAGUCGGGGACUAACGCGCACCCGAGCAGGGGAAGUGGAUGUACAACAGGUUAAUAUUCCUGUACCAUUAAUCUAAUAAAAGUGACGGAACGAGAUAACUACCGCGUAUUGACGGAAUAGUACGUUAAAGGAGCUGUUAUGGCUUUGAUAGUACACUGAGGCUUCGGUCGAGGUGAUAGAGUGGUGAUAACGUUUCCAAGAAAAGCGAAGAUUAAUGCCCGUACCGUAAACCGACACAGGUGAUUGGGAAGAGAAUUCUAAGGCGCUCGAGAGAUUCAUGGCUAAGGAACUAGGCAAAAUAGACCUGUAACUUCGGGAGAAAGGUCGCCUAUCACAAGAUAGGCCGCAGUGAAAAGGUCCAAGCGACUGUUUAUCAAAAACACAGGACUCUGCAAAAUCGAAAGAUGAGGUAUAGGGUCUGACACCUGCCCGGUGCUGGAAGGUUAAGAGGAGAGCUUAGUGGCAACACGAAGGUUUGAAUUGAAGCCCCAGUAAACGGCGGCCGUAACUAUAACGGUCCUAAGGUAGCGAAAUUCCUUGUCGGGUAAGUUCCGACCUGCACGAAUGGUGUAACGAUUUGGACACUGUCUCGGCCAUGAGCUCGGUGAAAUUGUAGUAUCGGUGAAGAUGCCGAUUACCCGCAGUGGGACGAAAAGACCCUGUGCACCUUUACUAUAUCUUCGUAUUGGUCUUGGAUAAGUGAUGCGUAGGAUAGGUGGGAGACUUAGAAGCGGCUAUUCUGGUAGUUGUGGAGUCGUUGUUGAAAUACCACCCUUUGCUUAUCUGAGGUCUAACCCUGCAGAGUGCAGGGGACAAUUCGUGGAGGGUAGUUUGACUGGGGUGGUCGCCUCCAAAAGAGUAACGGAGGCUUCUAAAGGUUCCCUCAGCACGCUUGGUAACCGUGCGUAGAGUGCAAUGGCAAAAGGGAGCUUGACUGAGAGACCUACAAGUCGAUCAGGUACGAAAGUAGAGCAUAGUGAUCCGGUGGUUCCGUAUGGAAGGGCCAUCGCUCAAAGGAUAAA
rnacentral:rRNA from 1 species